UAAAAAUAUAUUUAAGAUUAGGGUUUCUCGAAUUUAAGAGGGCUAAGAAAGUAUAUAUUUUACUGUGGAAGAAUUAUUUAUAAUACUUUUUUAGUAAUGAGAUAUUAGUCGUUCUUUAAUAUAUCUAGUUUUUUAAGAGAUUAAUUUAAUUAAGCUGGUUUGAAAUUGAUUUUUUUGAUAAAUUGAUUUAGGAACUAAGUUACAUCUAAGGGGAUAAGCUUUUGGGUGGAUUACUAAAAUGUAUUUGGCUUAUAAGGUGAAAUAGGAAUAGAAGUUUUCAUUUUGGGAAGUGAGUUGUAUCAGGACUUUGUAAAAGAUGAUUUAAUGAAUAUAUUUAGGUUUUUUAUUAAAAAGAGUGGUUUAAUUAUAAAAUUUAUGUUAUAAUGAUAAAAUUAGUAUAUUUGGUUGUGAGUGUAAUUUUUAAUUGGGAGAUUAGGUUAAGGAACUCGGCAAGUCUAUUCUCUGCCUGUUUAUUAAAAACAUGGCCUUUAGAAAAUAAUUUAAGGUCUGGCCUGCCCAAUGAAUAGUGAAUGGCCGCGGUACUCUGACCGUGCAAAGGUAGCAUAAUCAUUAGUUUUUUAAUUGAAAGCUGGAAUGAACGGUCGGACAAGGGAAUAUCUGUCUUUAUCUAAAUAAUAGAAUUUUAUUUUUUAGUGAGAAAGCUAAAAUGAGUUUGAGGGACGAGAAGACCCUAUAGAAUUUUAUAAUUUUUUUUUGGGUUGGUUUUUUAGGAAUACUUGAUUGAUUACGAGGAAAAAUUAUUUUGUUGGGGUGAUGGAAAAAUUUAGAAAACUUUUUUUUAUUGAUGUUCAUUAAUUUAUGAAUUUUUGAUCCACAGUUUGUGAUUAUAAGAUUAAAUUACCUUAGGGAUAACAGCGUUAUUAGUUUGGAGAGUUCUUAUCGAUAAACUAGUUUGCGACCUCGAUGUUGGAUUAAAAUAAACUUAUGGUGUAGGGGCUAUAAGGUUAAGUCUGUUCGACUUUUAAAAUUUU
rnacentral:rRNA from 1 species